UGUCUUCAGGGCAGGGUGCAAUUCCCGAUCGGCGGUAUAGUCCGCGAGCGGCGGCUUUUCAAGGAAACGGCCAAUGCAGGCGCCAUUUUGGCGCGGGAACCGGUGCAACUCCGGUACCGACAGUGAAAGUCUGGAUGAAAGAAGAUG
rnacentral:ncRNA from 1 species